UGCAUGAGGCGACAUCUCUGGUAGCAGAGAGAAUGGAUCGCAUUAACUGGAAAUGCUACAAUCGGGUGCAUAUCAAAUGCUCCUGUUGUUUCGCAUGUUGCUAGGAACCUGUGGGUUUCUAGUUAUAUCAACGGGGCCGGUUUCUGUGAUUACAUCC